GCUCAUCGUCAAUGAAUUAAAAACUGAAUUAAUUAAAGAAAACAUCAUCCCAAUUACACAAAUUAAACUAAAGAAGAAGAAUAUAUCCAGAACCACCCUUAUCCAUAGCCAAAGUUGCAAUUGUUGUGAAAUUCCUUCAAAAUCUUCUCUCCAAUGCUCUUGCUCUAAAAACUGUCUUUAAUGAUGUUUUUGCUUGUAUCAUCAUUUUUCUUGUGUUUGGUGUAUGUUAGUUAUGCCCAAACACAAAUUCUCAUUACAAUUCUGUUCAUAAUAGAGUUCCAAGCCAUCCCAAACACUUAAGUUUACAUUUGCAGCAUUAGAAACAAACUAGGACACCAAUCUGCCCCGUACCCUAGCCCCGGCUGGCAUGUUGCUAUGUAAUAAGCCAGCUCUGGCUGGCAUAGCUGUCAAUUAAAUUUAGGACCUCCCAGCCCCGACUGGGGUUUAGUAGAGGAAGAGGCCAACCCCGGCUGGCUAGUGAACUACUAAAUAACUUCAAGACCCCCAGCCCCGGCUUGGGUGUUAGGCAUAAAAGGGCUAGCCUCGGUUGGCUCAUGUCCUGUCAACGGGUCCAUUAUGCUCUCUUUAUUGCCACAUUCCACCAUAAGUCCACCCUUUUUAUCCAAAUACCACUCCAUCAAACCUAAACACAAAACAAAGCUAAAAAGUAAAAACAAAACAUAAAAUCAAGGAAUCAACACCGUUUAAGCUGGACUUAAGAGCCGAAUCGUGGGUAUAAAACCCACUUAUCAAAAUCCCCUAGACUUAAACUGUGCUAGUCCUCGAGCACAAACAAAACUAACAUAUUAUACAAUGCAAUGCCAUGAGAUGUAAUGCUUCUAAUCUAUAUGCCAACGAACCCAUCAGUCAUCAUAGAAUUAAAUUUAUUCAACCGGCCUCAGAGAAAUCAAGCAUACACUACAACACUUCAUAUUAAAACCAAUCAAUAAUUCCUUAUUAAUCCUCGAAUCUUAAACUGUUAUUACUGGUAUAGUAUGUGUGUGCUCAACAUUCAUGUUAACUGAUGUAAAUCCGAAUUUAAUACAUAACAAGUCUCUCAGAAGGCAUCGUACAAUGUAAACUCAAAAAUUGCAAAAACAACCAAGAUCCAACUAAAAUCAAACAAUCACCAAGACCAAGGGUCCAAAUAGGGUACUUAUGCUUUCUUUUUCAAUUACGGGGGCUUUUUGCUCUUACUUCCCGUUUUAUUCUUCUUCUUUUUUUCAAAGUGAGUGCGUUUUACGCUCCAAUUCACGCCUGUGUUUAUGGGGAGUGCAUUUCAUGUUUCUUCUUGACCCACCAUAGGACUCAAUUUAGUCAACUCGGGAGGAUUCCCAAAUUAUUAUUUUUAUUAAAGUUUUUUUUAUAUAUUUAUAUACCCCACUUUUUCCCCCAAACUUAGGUUCUUGCCUAAUUCUUUAUCUUCACUGCCUAUCUUUGUCAGUCUUUCAUUUACACUAUCAUUAUGCUUUAGAAAAUCCUUAUUUAUCAAUUUAGACUAAUUAGUCCACAUAAAUGUUCUUAACGUGCUAACCUUUUUAUACCAGAGUCAAACAUGCAAAAGAUCCAAUUCAUAACAAAAGAUUACAUCACAGUUCUAAUAAUCAGUACCAUACUUGUCUACUAAAUCCCAUUCUCAUCAUUGGCCAAAAUAACAUGAACU
rnacentral:lncRNA from 1 species